CAGCCGCCGCGGUAACCCCAGCGCCACAAGUGGGAACCACGCUUAUUGGGUCUAAAGCAUCCGUAGCCGGUUCUGCAAAUGCCCUGUGAAAUCGUUGCGCUUAACGUAACGGCGUGCAGGGUAGACUACCGAACUUGGGACCAGGGGAAGUAGACGGUAUUCCUGAGGGAGCGGUAAAAUGUGAUAAUCUCAGGAGGACCACCGAUGGCGAAGGCAGUCUUCUAAUAUGGAUCUGACGGUGAGGGAUGAAAGCUAGGGGAGCGAUCCGGAUUAGAUACCCGAGUAGUCCUAGCCGUAAACGCUGCAUGCCAGAUGUUACACAAUCUUCGAGAUUGUGUAGUGUCGAAACGAAGGUGUUAAGCAUGCCACCUGGGAAGUACGGUCGCAAGGCUGAAACUUAAAGGAAUUGGCGGGGAGCACA
rnacentral:rRNA from 1 species